AAGAACAACUGGUGUUGGGAUCCGGGUCUAUUUCUGUUUAUAUUCAACUCUGUCAAAAGGCCUUUCAGAUAAUAUGGACUGAGAGGCUUAUGCAAGUUAAGCUACCCCACCCAUUUGUGUCUCACGUGACACGAACACGGAUGUCGGAAAUAUUCGGAGCCUUCUUUGAAGGUUCAAGAGGCAUCAAUAAUAAUGACUGGAGCAGCAAUAGCGUUUAUUCACAAAGUGAAGGACGCAUUACAUAAACUGGCUGACGCUCUGGACGCAGACGAUGCACGUUAUGCCAAAAUUGCUGGAAGAACCUUUGUUGUGAACAUAACAGGAGGAACCAUUGUAACUGCGAGUGUUGGAGGUGUCUUUGGUCUCUCGCUUCUUGGUUUCUCUCUUGCCACAGUGGUUCCCGCCAUAGCUCUAGCUGGGAGGGUUUUGGGAAGUGGCAUUGGCGCCGUUGGUGCGUAUACAAGGUAUGCAGAAAAUGCAUCAUUCACAUCCCAUGUGAAAGAAGCACAAGCCAUCUUUGACGAGUAUUCACAGUACCUAAAAAAACAGAGCCCACUUGGAAGUUGUGACAUCAGAGCAGUUAGGAAUUUAGGCGAAAUGAUUGAUGUGACAUCUUUGGUACUGACACUCAAAGACGGAAACACGAUGAAAGGGAGUGAUGCUAUGGCCUUCUUAAAGAAAAAUCAACCGUAUUCAAGGGCUACAGUCACAUUUAGCGUAGGAGUGUAUGUCAUGAAGAACAAAACUCAAUACAAUUCGGAUCUCACAAAUACAAUUCGUAAGAGGGCCAAUGACCUUAUGAACUGUGGGGGGAUUUGGACGACAUACACUUUGGCUGACGAAAAAAAAUAAUGCAUUGUUUUUAUCUGCAGUUUAACAUUAUUAUAACUGAUUUGUUUGGCAAAAGUUUGUUGGGACUUCUAUUUUGAGCGCAAACUGAUACACGUUUAUCAGGUCCCAUCCAAAACGUUACACAAUGAAUUUCUAACCGACUGUUUCAUGUUAAUGUGUCAAUUGGUUUGUAGGUUUGUAGGAUGUUAUACAUUAGGAUUUAAGUGUUCUGUAUUUUGUUAACGUCCUCAUGGAUUUCAGUGAACUUGGUUUCCUUUCAACUAAGACAGUCAAUAAUUCCAAUAAUAAACACACUGAGACUCGGACGCAUUGACUUUGCACACACGGAGACGUGAGCCACGACGUUCUGUGAUGUAUUGUGAUGUAUUGGCCAGAAUACAUGUUUACGCCAUGGCUGUUGCAGCGUUCUUCUCAGUGUGUUCUUAACAGUCUGAAUGUGAAUCUUCUGCUGUAUAUGCUCUAUUUUCUUACCUGUAAUAGUUGAAUUUGAAAUAAGAGCUGCAAAUGUAUACUAACG